GCUUGCUGGGUGGAUUAGUGGCGAACGGGUGAGUAACACGUGAGUAACCUGCCCUUAACUCUGGGAUAAGCCUGGGAAACUGGGUCUAAUACCGGAUAGGAGCGCCUACCGCAUGGUGGGUGUUGGAAAGAUUUAUCGGUUUUGGAUGGACUCGCGGCCUAUCAGCUUGUUGGUGAGGUAAUGGCUCACCAAGGCGACGACGGGUAGCCGGCCUGAGAGGGUGACCGGCCACACUGGGACUGAACCACGGCCCCGACUCCUACGGGAGGCAGCAGUGGGGAAUAUUGCCCCAAUGGGGGCAAGCCUGAUGCAGCGACGCCGCGUGAGGGAUGACGGCCUUCGGGUUGUAAACCUCUUUCAGUAGGGAAGAAGCGAAAGUGACGGUACCUGCAGAAGAAGCACCGGCUAACUACGUGCCAGCAGCCGCGGUAAUACGUAGGGUGCGAGCGUUAUCCGGAAUUAUUGGGCGUAAAGAGCUCGUAGGCGGUUUGUCGCGUCUGUCGUGAAAGUCCGGGGCUUAACCCCGGAUCUGCGGUGGGUACGGGCAGACUAGAGUGCAGUAGGGGAGACUGGAAUUCCUGGUGUAGCGGUGGAAUGCGCAGAUAUCAGGAGGAACACCGAUGGCGAAGGCAGGUCUCUGGGCUGUAACUGACGCUGAGGAGCGAAAGCAUGGGGAGCGAACAGGAUUAGAUACCCUGGUAGUCCAUGCCGUAAACGUUGGGCACUAGGUGUGGGGACCAUUCCACGGUUUCCGCGCCGCAGCUAACGCAUUAAGUGCCCCGCCUGGGGAGUACGGCCGCAAGGCUAAAACUCAAAGGAAUUGACGGGGGGCCCCGCACAAGCGGGGGAACCAUGCGGAUUAAUUUCGAUGCCACCGCGAAAGAACCUUUACCAAGGGCUUGAACAUGUUUCUCCAAUCGCCCGUAAGAGAUACCGGUUUUCCCCCUUUUGGGGGCCGGGUUUCACAGGUGGGUUGCAUGGUUGUCGUCAGCUCGUGUCGUGAGAUGUUGGGUUAAGUCCCGCAACGAGCGCAACCCUCGUUCCAUGUUGCCAGCACGUCGUGGUGGGGACUCAUGGGAGACUGCCGGGGUCAACUCGGAGGAAGGUGAGGACGACGUCAAAUCAUCAUGCCCCUUAUGUCUUGGGCUUCACGCAUGCUACAAUGGCCGGUACAAUGGGUUGCGAUACUGUGAGGUGGAGCUAAUCCCAAAAAGCCGGUCUCAGUUCGGAUUGGGGUCUGCAACUCGACCCCAUGAAGUCGGAGUCGCUAGUAAUCGCAGAUCAGCAACGCUGCGGUGAAUACGUUCCCGGGCCUUGUACACACCGCCCGUCAAGUCACGAAAGUCGGUAACACCCGAAGCCGGUGGCCUAACCCUUGUGGGGGGAGC
rnacentral:rRNA from 1 species